UGGCUUUACGAAUCACGGACUAAAAUUUUGCUUGAUUUGCAUCUUUUUCCUCCUAUAUCUUGAGAAGUUAUUGUGCAAGAAGUUGAAGUUUUGCAGCUUCAUAUUUUAACUCUACAAUAUCCUUUAUUGACAGCUAAAGCAUCAUAAUAGCGGCCUUGAACCAGUAUUUGCUGCAAUUCAAACAAUGUAGUUCAACCAUGAGGCUUUCAGUUUUAUAAAAGAUGCACAAUAAGGGUAUCCCCUAUAUUGUUGCCAAAUGCUAUUAGUUGAACGUGUGCUUGUAUCACUUUUUCCAUUCAUAAUUUAAGAGAACUUCUAAAUAUUUACUUGCUUUCAUAGCCUUAUCAUUCUAUUGAAUGCUAAUAUAAAUCUAAUGGAGGUAUUUGAUGCAAGCGCCACAAUUUAUGACUUUUUUCGUCUUGAAAAUUUUGGCUUAUGGACCAAUUAACUUUAAGGCCGUGGAAAGCUGAUUGUUUAGGACUUUCAUUUUAAUCAUUUUUGGGUUUUUGCUUUCAGUAACAGGGUUUUUUCAUCUUGAUGCUUUUUGGCUUAGAAAGCCGGAGAAGAUAUCCAAAGAGUAAAUUAUGUGGAUUAGGUGCUCAAUUGUUUGUUUUAGGCGAAUACUGAGAGAAGGAAGUACUCAGACUCACGCUUAAAUUUUGCCACAGUUCUCAUCUCUCAUCCAUCAAAGUUGUGGCCAAGAAACAAUCUACCUGUCCAGUUUGGUUUGCUAGUUGCCCUCACAAAAAAUCGUUGAACACAAAGCAUAUCAAAGAUUUGAUGGAGCAUUCCCACCAAUGGAUAGUGGAUACAAAGACUGUGCUAGUUUGAAAAUAAGCCCAACGAGUGAACGGGGUGUAUGUGAAAAAGAGUGAAGAAUGCAUUUUAGUUUGGUCAUAGGUUAGUCUAAAGAACGAAAGUCUUGACUAAUGAGUUUGAGCCGGAAAAUGAGGCUCUAAAGGAGCACUUUCUUCCUUCUUGGUCCUUUUCUUCUAGCCAGUAAUCAACAAUCUACCUUUUUGGCUAAAAAGAAAUGCUCUUGCUAUCUAUUCCUAUUCCAAGGGGCUUUUUGUGUGUUAGGAUGUAAUAACUGCUUAUUAAAUGAAAUAGUUGAGUUUGUGAG